rnacentral:lncRNA from 1 species
CUGUCGGGUCCCAAAAUACGUGGUCUAAAGUCCUUUGGGCUCCUGCCGCUGCCAGCACUGAUCAUAUGCUCUUGACCCUGGUCGGGUGGGGGGAUGUCUGGAUACCUCCUCUGUGGAAAGAACUGGCCACACAUCCGCAGAGGUGACUCGGGCUGAGAACCCAGGCUCCUCCUCCCUUUGGUGACACGCCCCUCGGUCCCUCACUGGCACUUCUCCCUCCGGCCACACGGCGGCGUCUCGCCAUAGCGCAGCGGCCGAUGGUACAGCCCGCUCCCCCCUCGCGCUCUCGGACAGUGGGUCCUUCCACUUGUAGAAAAGCAUUGUGGGACGGAAGCCUGUCCUUUCUUCCUUUUGGUGCGAGCUUGCUGUGGUUUUUGCUCUGGGUCCUCUGGGAUGGCGCCUGGCUGUGGCCGCGUGGUCUCUCACGCAGGGGCGCCGGGCGGGGGAACGCGGCCACCCUGAGUCUGGUGAGUCGACUGCGGCGGCCUGUGUCCGAAGUGUCCGGGGCCGUGAACAAGGGCAGCGGCCUGGCCUCAGGCCUGCGUUCCCACGUUUGGAAACGGGGAGCUUCGUCGAUUUGUGUUUACAUCAUCGACUAUGCCAGGGAGUUCUCCAGAUAAGCCUGGUUUUAUUUUCGUCAGUGAAAAGGCCUUACCGUAUAACUGACUUUAUGCUUGCCCUGCCCCCGUAUAAAAUAACUUAAAAGCAGCGUGCCUGGUUACAGCUGUUUCCACGUGCGGUGCUCGUCGGGAGUGAUCACCUACCCUACAGGGUGGAAGAUGGAUGCCUGAAGUGUAGACUGCUGCUAGCUGAAUACCAUCUGGGAGCAUAAAGGUGACCUGAAGGGAUGUCCUUGGUGAGGAUUUUGAAAAUUUGAUCUUCACAAGAGUUGCCUGGAUCAUUUGAAAUUUCUGGGAGUCUGAGGAGUACUGACAUAAUUACCUGCUGGAGUCUGUAAAUACACAUUUAAGACAGUGAGGAUGUGAAUAAAUAUAUUAAUGCACUUUGGCAUUUGUGUUUUAAGUGAUUAACUGCCAGAAACAGCUAUUUCUAAAAAGUUAUAAGGGAGGAGGGGUUCUUUUUUGAUCAGUAUUCACUGCUGUCACCAUAAUUAAUAGCCUUAAAAUAGCUUGUGUUUGGCCCAAAGAGAAAUGUACUUUCUUCCAGUGACUCAAAAAUCGUGGCUAGAACUAGACU